rnacentral:rRNA from 1 species
UACGUAGGGUGCGAGCGUUAAUCGGAAUUACUGGGCGUAAAGCGUGCGUAGGUGGUUCGUUGUGUCUGUGGUGAAAGCCCCGGGCUUAACCUGGGAACGGCCAUGGAAACUGGCGAGCUGGAGUGUGGCAGAGGGGGGUGGAAUUCCGCGUGUAGCAGUGAAAUGCGUAGAGAUGCGGAGGAACACCGAUGGCGAAGGCGGGUCUCUGGACAGUUCCUGACGCUGAGGCACGAAGGCCAGGGGAGCAAACGGG